UACGAGGGGGGCAAGCGUUGUUCGGAAUUAUUGGGCGUAAAGGGCGCGUAGGCGGUGCGGUAAGUCACCUGUGAAAUCUCCGGGCUCAACUCGGAGCCUGCAGGCGAAACUGCCGUGCUCGAGUGUGGGAGAGGUGCGUGGAAUUCCCGGUGUAGCGGUGAAAUGCGUAGAUAUCGGGAGGAACAUCAGUGGCGAAGGCGGCCCUCUGGUCCAGUACUGACACUCAAGUGCGAAAGCGUGGGGAGCAAACAGG
rnacentral:rRNA from 1 species